AAAAGUUGUGAAUUCUUUGGGUUUAAUUAAAAUCAUUUCAUUAUUGUCCGUGCAGAGGCUAUUCCGUUUUAUUGAUCCAUGGCGCAUGCAUUUUGAUUCU